rnacentral:lncRNA from 1 species
CUCCCAGACAGAAUGUUAGGUAAUGCCAAUGAGCACAGAUCAAUCAUCUGCACAAUCUGAAGACGGAGCACUUUCCAUGGAGUGCUGAUGAAGUGCCAGGGUCCUAGGCUCCUCCUGGUGUGCCAGCCCUCAGACAAGUCUCUCAGCCUCAAGGUCCAGGAUGGCAACAUCUGUCCAAACAGCAAGAUGGAGAACAGGACAGGAUAGGAACGAAGUAGGAGAGGGGCCAAGGACUCAUGCUGGCAUCCCGCCAGCCUUUUGACACGAGUCACCCUUCCGCCACUUUAUAAAAGAAAGGUAGGCCUCUUAUCAGUGGUAGGCAAUAGCAGGGUAGUGAAAACCGUUUCCCCACCACUGCCAAGGUAGGGAAUAGAGGCUGCAUUGUCCUUAGAGAAUUGUAAACGAGUAACCAACCAAAAGUUCUUUGUUAUCCCCUGGGCCAGCAAUCCUAAACAAUGUCAGUGAUAAAACAUUCCUCCCUGAAAAAGUAUUUUAUUGGUCUAAGUUCUAAAUCUAAAUAAAUGCUGUCAUUACCACUGAGUUUUAAUUAUAUGUGAACUUCGGCCGGGCGCAGUGGCUCACGCCUGUAAUCCCAGCACUUUGGGAGGCCAAGGCAGGUGGAUCACCCGAGGUUAAGAGUUCGAGACCAGCCUGGCCAACAUGGUGAAACCCCUACUAAAAAU